AUCUCAUGGACUGCGCCUUGA
rnacentral:snRNA from 1 species